GAUGAAGAACGCAGCGAAAUGCGAUAAGUAGUGUGAAUUGCAGAAUUCAGUGAAUCAUCGAAUCUUUGAACGCACAUUGCGCCCCUUGGUAUUCCAUGGGGCAUGCCUGUUCGAGCGUCAUUUGUACCUUCAAGCUUUGCUUGGUGUUGGGUGUUUGUCCAUUCUCUUGCAGAGGGACUCGCCUUAAAGUAAUUGGCAGCCAGUGUUUUGGUUUUGAAGCGCAGCACAAGUCGCGAUUCAAAGCUAUACGCCCGCUUCCGCAAGCCUUUUUCACUUUUGACCUCGGAUCAGGUAGGGAUACCCGCUGAACUUAAGCAUAUCAAUAAGCGGAGGA
rnacentral:misc_RNA from 1 species